rnacentral:rRNA from 1 species
UACAGAGGUCCCAAGCGUUGUUCGGAUUCAUUGGGCGUAAAGGGUGCGUAGGCGGCGCGGUAAGUCGGGUGUGAAAUCUCGGAGCUUAACUCCGAAACUGCAUUCGAUACUGCCGUGCUUGAGGACUGGAGAGGAGACUGGAAUUUACGGUGUAGCGGUGAAAUGCGUAGAUAUCGUAAGGAAGACCAGUGGCGAAGGCGGGUCUCUGGGCCUUACCUGACGCUCAGGUGCGAAAGCUAGGGGAGCGAACAGG